GAUGAACGCUGGCGGCGUGCCUAACACAUGCAAGUCGAGCGAUUCUCUUCGGAGAAGAGCGGCGGACGGGUGAGUAACGCGUGGGUAACCUGCCCUGUACACACGGAUAACAUACCGAAAGGUAUGCUAAUACGAGAUAACAUACUUUUAUCGCAUGGUAGAAGUAUCAAAGCUCCGGCGGUACAGGAUGGACCCGCGUCUGAUUAGCUAGUUGGUAAGGUAACUGCUUACCAAGGCGACGAUCAGUAGCCGACCUGAGAGGGUGAUCGGCCACAUUGGAACUGAGACACGGUCCAAACUCCUACGGGAGGCAGCAGUGGGGGAUAUUGCACAAUGGGCGAAAGCCUGAUGCAGCAACGCCGCGUGAGCGAUGAAGGCCUUCGGGUCGUAAAGCUCUGUCCUCAAGGAAGAUAAUGACGGUACUUGAGGAGGAAGCCCCGGCUAACUACGUGCCAGCCGCCGCCGUAA
rnacentral:rRNA from 1 species